AUGACUGACGAGAGGAUCGCCGUUGUGUUUUCUAAGAAAUCAUUUCCACUGAGCAAACUCAAGUCAAGGGGCACUUUAUGUUUCACACGGCGGCAUACAUGCAGCGCGCUGGGACCGAGCACGUGCAAGCUUAAGUUUAAAUGGAGUAACAUAUGUGGGCUUCGUCGAACCACACAAAAUACUGGUGAAAGUGAAAGCUCUUACCGAUCAUUAGCAGAUAACAAGUCGUCUUGUCCAGAGCAUGCAGAACCCCACUCACUUUGGACGAGUCACAGAUACUUUGUCAAAGCAAAGACCGUAGCUGUUUUUUAUAAGAUUUCCUAUAGUAGUUUAUGCAUCGUGUAA
rnacentral:rRNA from 1 species